rnacentral:siRNA from 1 species
AUCACAUGCCAAGUUUGGCCUCAC